GGCUCGGUGGCGAGUGGUUCGCGUCCGCCGGUAAUGGGUUCCAAGACGAUCUGUUGGAAGCGGAAGCCGCCUGUUCGAUUCAGGCCCGAGCCC